rnacentral:lncRNA from 1 species
AUUUGAAGCAUUAGAAAAAGAAAUGGGAUCAAUUGGAGCUAAAUUGGAUGCGUAUUUCAAUUUAUCGGGUAAAAGACCAAAAUAGGUCAAUACGAUGUUUAGGCAAAAUUUAGACCUUUUGCAUUCCAUAUCAUGCAUUAGUAGUCUAAAUUAGUUUAAUUUUAAUUUAGUACCAAUGUGGUGAAUUUCUCGAUUUUGUACUGUGUUAAGGUGGUGAGUCCUUCGAUAAGGUAAGGGAAUUGCAUCCGAGGACCAGUAGUCUGAGUAUUUCGAAGAUCCCCACUCUAGACAUUGUGAGUAACCUUACCAUCAUUUUAAUUAUCUAAAGUAUGUUUUUAUUCGGUUUUGGUGAAUUUUAUGAAAAUGAGUUAAAAUGGUAAAUUUUUAUGUUUUUUAAACAAAAUGUGUUUAAAUGAAAAGACUUUAUAAAUUGUCUUGAAACGAAAUAACGAUUUGGAAAAUAGAGUAAUUGGAGACCACUAGCAUAUUGCAAAUUUAUGAUUGGAAAUUGAUGGCUUAUUUUAUAUUGUUAUUGUGUUGGCAUGACUGGUUGGGCUGUGUUUUAUGAAUUGUAUGAAUUAUUUUAUUUUACCCUUGCAGGCUGGGUAGUAUUAUAUUAGCCCUGUCAUGCUAUUAAAAUUUUAUUGUAUGGUAGGUUUAGCUUGCUACAAUAGGCGGGUUCUGUGGACCAGCCUAUUAGAGGGGCACAGAAUCCGGAUAUAUAUAUAUAUAACUCGGUUGGAGAGGCGCGUAAGGUAUCUCCUGAGAUAUGGUUAGAGUUCACGUCAUGCCGAACCACCUCGUGACGACGAACUCCGCUAAUGUCAAGGAACAACUGUGUUCUUUUUUUUAAACUAAAAAUAUAUUUAUGUGUAUACGAACUUUUUAAUAGCCUUGGCAAACUCGGUUAGAUGCCUCAACCAAGGUAUCCCCGAGAAUGAUUUUGGCAAGAGUCAAGCUUUUAAAAUACUCAUAAGCCAUGUUGAAUAUUUAAAUGAAAUGAAUAUUUAUGUUAUGAAAUACAUAUUGAGAUGAAAUAUUUUAAUUGUCUCCUCUUACUCGGAUUUUAGAUCUUUUGAAUGAUGUUUGUUUACUCACUGAGAUUAUAAAAUCUCACCACUCUCCUUUCCCUCCAUUUCAGGCUCAGAUUAGACUGUAUAUAGCUGAUCUCAUCGAGAACUACCGUUGGGUUUGCAUUCUUCAAACUGUAGGUUAUAGUCCUCUUUACUUUUAUUUAUUCGGGAGCCCACUUAUUAUUGUAAAUUAAAUUAAAUAAUUUGGCUUACUGUAUUAUAGUAUGUAUGAAUUUAUUUAACUUUUAUGCUACAAAAAUUAUUUAUGUAUAACUCUAAAAAUAUUGUUUUAUGAUAAAAUAGAAUAUUUUACUUAAUAUUUUUUUAUUUUCUUAUUAUACCCAAAUAAUCAAAAUUUCGUUUUAAAUGAAGAUUUUAUACUUUAAAACUCACUUUUGAUUAUGAAUUAUAUGUUUUGUACUUAUAU